CCUACUGGAGGCAGCAGUGAGGAAUAUUGGUCAAUGGGCGGAAGCCUGAACCAGCCAAGUAGCGUGCGGGAUGAAGGCCCUACGGGUCGUAACCGCUUUUUCACGGGGAUAACACCCUCCACUUGUGGAGGUCUGCAGGUACCGUGCGAAUAAGGGCCGGCUAAUUCCGUGCCAGCAGCCGCGGUAAUACGGAAGGCCCGAGCGUUAUCCGGAUUCAUUGGGCUUAAAGGGGGCGUAGGCGGGCGUUCAAGUCAGCUGUCAAAUCGCGCGGCACAACCGCGACCCGGAGGUGGAACUGGACGGCGUGAGUUCACAGCAGGGAGGCGGAAUUCGUGGUGUAGCGGUGGAAUGCAUAGAUAUCA
rnacentral:rRNA from 1 species